rnacentral:rRNA from 1 species
AUGAUGUGCAAGUUUGUUUCCAAGGUUUUGCAAGGCUCUGACAUACCAUGUUAUGAAUGGUUCGCCAAGCAUUACUGCCAGGCUGCUAUCCCUCAAAGCACUCGCAGCAGAGACACGGCUAUCUGGAAAGGGUUCAAGGAUCUUGUUCCUUUGGUUAUCAAUUCUUCUCGAUGCGUUCUAGGCACUGGCACUCUGGUAUCUUUCUGGCAGGAUCACUGGCUGGACGAGGGUCGACUUUGCCUGCUGUACCCUACUCUGUUCUCCUUUGCGUCUAACCCAACUUGCUCCGUGAGCUCUCAGUACGCCAACGGCUCUUGGACUGUUAAGCUGCACCCGAACCUUUCCCAAACAGCUUUGGCUGAGCUGCUGGCCUUGCGGGACCAGUUAUCCGGUGUUGCACCCAAUCUGCUCCAGGAUGACACAAGGUUCCCUUGGGUUCUAGCAAGAUUAGUACACGAUAUUUCUACAGUCUGCUCACUUUCAGGGGUGUGUUGGCCAUCUUCGAGCACUGGGUUUGGGACUCCCUGGUCCCUUUAA